UUUCGGAAUGUUUCUCCGUGUGCCAGGUACCUGGUUGGAACAGAGUGGCAGCGGCAUACCAGGAAGGUGUUCGGGUUCAAAGGACUGAGCAGAGUGAAGGGGUAAGUGAGUAAGUCCGGGAGGAGAGGGAAGCAAAGCUGGCGCUGGAGGAGGCUUAGGUGGCCGGCCGCCGCUGGAGGAGAAGGAGGUGGGGAAGGGGGCCGCUGGGAUUGAAGGAGCCGAUUAUACCUAAGUCUCGGGAGUAGCGUCUUGGGUUGUCUGUACUGUCGUAAACACGUUUUGGAGGAGCCAGUCUACGUUUGUUCCAAACUCAGAUACAGGGUCUUGUAGCAGAGUUUCUAUCUACUUUACCCUUGGUUCUAGCUGCUCGACCUCGUCUCGCAGUUGCUAGAGUUUCGACUCUACCCGUGGUGGCUGUAUGGACAGUUCUUCGGGCUACUCCGUUUCGGCUGGCUGAGGCGUAUUGAGUCUACAUCCGUUCUCUAACCCAUCAUUUCUAUACCACCGAUAUACUGUCUUCAAAAGCCGUAAGUACACAUAGUCUACUACAUAAGGGUACCUGGUAUCGAGAACAUGAUGGCACACACGAUGGAUAGCGACGGCGACCUCGAAGUCGAGAGGUCUCGGGUCUGUGGUAAUAGUCAACUAUCCAACAAAGGGAUACUAGUAAGAGCAUGACAACCAAACGGACAAGUUUCGACAACGACGUUCUCGGUCCGCUACAGAGCUGUUAAAAAUACCGUCACCCGGAUAACCCAAACAAGGGGAUACAUUAAAAACACACUGUGUGACGAGAAGACAUCUAAGACAAGUUUCGACCUAACGCAACGUACGACUUAAAAGG
rnacentral:rRNA from 1 species